UUGCUAACUCAUCUUUUGCCGCUCCAUGCUCAUAAACAUCAUUUUCUACUAUGGAUUACAAAAUAUACAUUUUUUUUUAAGGUUUCUUAAUUAGUUAUGAAUUCUUUCAAAGAUGCGUGUUGUUGUUACAUCCAUGCAUUUAAGAAACUAAUUUUUUCAAUGUUGAAUAAAAUAUUUUUAUGAUCUUGCAAUCUAUUUAAGAAACUAAUGGCCACGCUCAUGGCAAUGGAAUCAACUAAUGGUUAAAGAAUCCAGGGAAUUGCUCUCAAUAACCGAUGAACCCUAGCCUAAUCAACGUUCAAUUAAACACUCAUCACUGAAAAUUAACACCUAAUGCCAUGGGGUUUUUGAUCCUUCACCUAAAUGCUAUGUAACGGUGUGCUCAGAACAAGAAAGCGAUAACAAACGGUAAACGACAUACCGGAGAAGAUGAUCGGAGAUGUUUGCCGGUUGGUUUAAGUGGAAUUGCUCUUAAAAUGAAGGAUGACCUGCUGAGCAGGUUUUGAUGAUUAGUGUAAUGGAGUUAAGUCAGGUUGUUUCAGUGAAAUGAUGAAGUAGAAUGUUGAUGGCUGUAGCAGACCUUAAUAUCUACUGGAUCCAAUGGCUUGUGAGGUGCUGGAUUAGGGAAUUCAAUGGCUAUCCCUUGUGCUCAUUGGAUUGUAUGGAUCAAGGUUUCAUAGGUUCAGCUCCUCCUUGCCCUCAUCUGUUUUUCCUAUGUCCCAACUUAAAGCUUAGCCAUGGUAAGGUGUGAUGCAAGUUUGGACAUUGCUUGGCUCCAAGGUAUGCACUGUCGUGACCAUUUCAACUCAAUAGGAGAAUGGUUCACCAUGGUCAUUGUGUUUGGAUUGAGGCCUUGGAUUGGCCAUGAAGGUUGCAUCUCAACCUGAGCUGAAUUGUGUCUGAUAUGCAGGGUUAGUUGGGUCCAUUGCCAUACUUCAUUGGUUUGUUCCUCAUGACUGUAAAUUUCUGUCUUGUCUUUGCAGGAAGGCAACCAUUCUCCAUCUUGAUUCAUCUUGGUGCAGCAUAACACAUAGCGUGACAUUGCUGUUGUACAACCAUGAUUGACAUGACAAUGGAGAUCUUAGAACAGUGCUGCUGACAUAUGAUGCCUGGCACACUCUGAAGCCCUAUUGAUGUGCAUCUCAUGGUUUGAAACAGGUUGACUUGAUGCAAGGCUGGCAAGGUUUUGAUUUUUGUGCAGGAUUGGUUCCUGCUGAAUGCUACAGAUACUAUUGGUGUCUAGCCCAACUGCAAAAACACUUGACCACUCCUUUCACCUGCUGGUUUGGUAGAGCUUAGCCUCAAGAUUGCAGUUGAUUUCCUAACUGCAGGAUGCAAGACUAUGAUGAGUUGCUGCAGGUUCAUCAACCUUAAGCUUGGCGUCACUUGCAACAUGAGUACUGCAACAUGCUCACAAUUGACUUCAAGUGAAAUUUGGCGUAGGUAAGGCAGUUAGGCUUGUCACCACAAGGUCAUAACUAUCCUGCCUGAUAACUCUGGUUUGACAGUGUGCCAUUCAGCUUUGUAAGUUGUUUUUUUGGUUAUGUUACACUGCUAGUGGACAGAUAAGCCUGAAUACAUGUUGCCAUAUUUCAUGACAGGGUCAUGCCUGCUAUAGGACUAUGAUGGCAGGAUGUUUGCUAAGAUGAGUUCAAGGCCAAAUCCAAUUGAAUUGUCUUGUCCAAUUAACCAAUGUAAGCAUGGUAUAUGAUUAUGUGAUUGUGGUACCUGUUUGUGGUGAAUAUAGGACCAUGUUUAGCAAUGUGAAGCUAUGGUUGGAAAUGCAACAAAGUCCAAAUGGCAAGGUGCACAAGAGUUUGUAAAAGGAAUUGAAUUGCUUGGAAAUGAAGAUACAAAGCAACACACCCCAAGCAUGACUUUUGGAUGAUGGAUCAAUGAAGGAAGACUAGGUUAUGUCUUAGGUGGUAAAAUAGAGGGUGAGUUGACUUUGGUCAAAGUUGACCAAAAAAGUCAACUAUUGACCAAAGUCAACAAUGGGUCAAAAAUGUCAAUUUUUGUAUUUUCUUUAUGAUUUCUUUGUAAAUGGAUAUUCUAUGGACAAUUAUGGGUGAAAUUAGGGUUUAAUGGAUUAUGGUUGACUUUCGUCAAAGUUGACCAAAAAGUCAACUGUUGACCAAAGUCAACAGUUGGUCAAAAAUGCCAAACUUUGUAUUUUCUUGUAUGGAAUCACAUGUAAUGGUUUAAAAUGGAUAGAAUGGAUCUGAAUGGUUUUUGAAAAA